rfam:Verrucomicrobia bacterium 13_2_20CM_55_10 13_2_20cm_scaffold_3831, whole genome shotgun sequence.
GAUGGCAGAUGAUCGCUGGUGAACCGCUUGCGGUUCGCUGGAGGAAAGUCCGAACACCAUACGGCAGCAUGCCGCGUAAAAUACGCGGGCGACGUUCGCCAAAGCAGACGUUGACGGAAAGUGUCACAGAAAAAGACACCGCCGGUUCUUUGAAAGAAGUGCAGGCAAGGGUGAAAAGGCGAGGUAAGAGCUCACCGCUCGCGGAGCAAUUCGCGAGGCACGAAAAACCCCAUGUGGUGCAAGACAGAACAGAGGAAGGGCAGCCGGCCCGCCAAAGAUCCUCGGGUAUCGUCGCACUACGGCGAAUGAAAAUUCGCCGGGCUUUCGGAGAAAUCCGUGAGAGAUGAAUGAUCAUCGCGGUCGCCAAGGCGACUGGACAGAAUUCGGCUUACCGCCAUCGAAAUCAU